rnacentral:rRNA from 1 species
UACAGAGGGGGCAAGCGUUGUUCGGAAUUACUGGGCGUAAAGGGCGCGUAGGCGGCCUUCUAAGUCGAACGUGAAAUCCCUCGGCUCAACCGGGGAACGACGCAUGAAACUGGCAAGCUAGAGUACCAAAGAGGGGGGUGGAAUUCCCGGUGUAGUGGUGAAAUGCGUAGAUAUCGGGAGGAAUACCAGUGGCGAAGGCGGCUUCUUGGCCUGUUCUUGACGCUGAGGCGCGAAAGCUGGGGGAGCAAACGGG